rnacentral:rRNA from 1 species
GAUGAACGCUAGCGGCAGGCUUAAUACAUGCAAGUCGAGGGGCAGCAGUUUUGUAGCAAUACAGAAGCUGGCGACCGGCAAACGGGUGCGGAACACGUACGCAACCUUCCUUUAACUGGGAGAUAGCCCACCGAAAGGUGGAUUAAUAUCCCAUAAUAUAACUGAAUGGCAUCAUUUAGCUAUUAAAGCUCCGGCGGUUAAAGAUGGGCGUGCGUCUGAUUAGGUAGUUGGCGGGGUAACGGCCCACCAAGCCUUCGAUCAGUAGCUGAUGUGAGAGCAGGAUCAGCCACACGGGCACUGAGACACGGGCCCGACUCCUGCGGGAGGCAGCAGUAAGGAAUAUUGGUCAAUGGACGCAAGUCUGAACCAGCCAUGCCGCGUGGAGGAUGAAGGCCCUCUGGGUUGUAAACUUCUUUUCUUUGGGACGAAACCCCUGUUUCUACGGGGACUGACGGUACCAGAGGAAUAAGCACCGGCUAACUCCGUGCCAGCCGCCGCAGUAAAAC